GAUGAACGCUGGCGGCGUGCCUAAUACAUGCAAGUCGAGCGAACAGACGAGGAGCUUGCUUCUCUGACGUUAGCGGCGGACGGGUGAGUAACACGUGGAUAACCUACCUAUAAGACUGGGAUAACUUCGGGAAACCGGAGCUAAUACCGGAUAAUAUAUUGAACCGCAUGGUUCAAUAGUGAAAGACGGUUUUGCUGUCACUUAUAGAUGGAUCCGCGCCGCAUUAGCUAGUUGGUAAGGUAACGGCUUACCAAGGCAACGAUGCGUAGCCGACCUGAGAGGGUGAUCGGCCACACUGGAACUGAGACACGGUCCAGACUCCUACGGGAGGCAGCAGUAGGGAAUCUUCCGCAAUGGGCGAAAGCCUGACGGAGCAACGCCGCGUAAGUGAUGAAGGUCUUCGGAUCGUAAAACUCUGUUAUUAGGGAAGAACAAAUGUGUAAGUAACUAUGCACGUCUUGACGGUACCUAAUCAGAAAGCCACGGCUAACUACGUG
rnacentral:rRNA from 1 species